GACGAACGCUGGCGGCGCGCUUAACACAUGCAAGUCGAACGGAAAGGCCUGCUUUCCCUUGUGGAUUGCGGGUACUCGAGUGGCGAACGGGUGAGUAACACGUGAGUGAUCUGCCCCCAACUUGGGUAUAAGCCUGGGAAACUGGGUCUAAUUCCCGAUAGGACUGCAGGGUGGUGCCUGUGGUGGAAAACGAUUUUCUAGUGGUUGGGGAUGAGCUCGCGGCCUAUCAGCUUGUUGGUGGGGUAAUGGCCUACCAAGGCGGCGACGGGUAGCCGGCCUGGGAGGGUGGACGGCCACAUUGAGACUGAGAUACGGCCCAGACUCCUACGGGAGGCAGCAGUGGGGAAUAUUGCACAAUGGGCGGAAGCCUGAUGCAGCGACGCCGCGUGGGGGAUGACGGCCUUCGGGUUGUAAACUCCUUUCGACCGCGAGGAAGCCACCUGGUUGGAAGGGUGGUGACGGUAGUGGUAGAAGAAGCACCGGCUAACUACGUG
rnacentral:rRNA from 1 species